UACAGAGGGUGCGAGCGUUGUCCGGAAUCACUGGGCGUAAAGGGCGCGUAGGUGGCGCUCCAAGUCUGUGGUGAAAGCUCGACGCUCAACGUCGAGUCGGCCAUAGAGACUGGAGGGCUCGAGCACUGUAGGGGCAGAUGGAAUUCCGGGUGUAGCGGUGGAAUGCGUAGAGAUCCGGAAGAACACCGGUGGCGAAGGCGGUCGACUGGGCUGUUCGCUGGACACUGAGGCGCGACGA
rnacentral:rRNA from 1 species